CACCAUAGACAGAUUUCAGCUUUGAAACGAGAUGGGAAAGAUUGGUUGCACCAUAGAUGGCAACCUAGAUGACUCGAAAUACAGCGAGCCGAUGCCAUGGAUCGGUAUCUAUGUUGCAGCAGCAUCUGCAGCUUGUGCACUGGCCAUGGCGAUUGAUGUCCUUCAUGGCCUGCGCCGUAGAAAAUUAUGGUUUCCUUGCAACUUCUUCUCUUGAAAGAGAGUCAAAGAAACAAAUAGAUAUGGCUGCAGCUAAAUACCCAGAGUAGAAACACCCCCCUCAAGAAAUCCUCAAAUACUCCACAUACACAAAGAUUUCACCUUUUAAACGAGAUGGGAAAGAUUGGUUGCACCAUAGAUGGCAACCUGGAUGACUCAAAAUUCAGCGAGCCGAUGCCAUGGAUCGGUAUCUAUGUUGCAGCAGCAUCUGCAGCUUGUGCACUGGCCAUGGCGAUUGAUGUCCUUCAUGGCCUGCGCCGUAGAAAAUUAUGGUUUCCUUGCAACUUCUUCUCUCUUAACGCUACGACCUUGACGCUCCUAGCUGUUGCCACCAAGUUGUCUGUUGAUCUAAAUACAUCCAUGCCUCGCCGACAAG
rnacentral:lncRNA from 1 species